rnacentral:tRNA from 1 species
AAAUCUUAUUAUAUGUGAAGUAUAUUUUUAUUGUCGAUAAAGAAGGAUAAGGUUUU